rnacentral:rRNA from 1 species
GAUGAACGCUGGCGGCGUGCCUAAUACAUGCAAGUCGAGCGAAUGGAUUAAGAGCUUGCUCUUAUGAAGUUAGCGGCGGACGGGUGAGUAACACGUGAGUAACCUGCCCAUAAGACUGGGAUAACUCCGGGAAACCGGGGCUAAUACCGGAUAACAUUUUGAACCGCAUGGUUCGAAAUUGAAAGGCGGCUUCGGCUGUCACUUAUGUAUGGACCCGCGUCGCAUUAGCUAGUUGGUGGGGUAACGGCUCACCAAGGCAACGAUGCGUAGCCGACCUGAGAGGGUGAUCGGCCACACUGGGACUGAGACACGGCCCAGACUCCUACGGGAGGCAGCAGUAGGGGAUCUUCCGCAAUGGACGAAAGUCUGACGGAGCAACGCCGCGUGAGUGAUGAAGGCUUUCGGGUCGUAAAACUCUGUUGUUAGGGAAGAACAAGUGCUAGUUGAAUAAGCUGACACCUUGACGGUACCUAACCAGAAAGCCACGGCUAACUACGUGCCAGCAGCCGCGGUAA